rnacentral:lncRNA from 1 species
GAAGAUUUGAUCUAGAGGAGGCCACGCGAAGAGGAGCACAACGGGAGGAGAAAACGCCCUGAGCCGAUCAGCUCAGAGAUGACCAAGCCGAUCGACCUGGGUCUUCCCUGCCCCCAUUCGUCAUCAUCUUUGGUCCAACUGAUCUAUAGGGCGUCGUUUACCCCAAAAUUCAUCAACAUGUGUAAGAUCAUGAGGUAAUACCUCUGUUUGUCC